rnacentral:rRNA from 1 species
CAGCCGCCGCGGUAAUACGUAGGUGGCGAGCGUUGUCCGGAUUUAUUGGGCGUAAAGGGAGUGUAGGCGGUCUUUUAAGUCUGAUGUGAAAGCCCACGGCUCAACCGUGGAGGGUCAUUGGAAACUGGGAGACUUGAGUGCAGAAGAGGAGAGCGGAAUUCCAUGUGUAGCGGUGAAAUGCGUAGAUAUAUGGAGGAACACCGGUGGCGAAAGCGGCUCUCUGGCUUGUAACUGACGCUGAGGCUCGAAAGCGUGGGGAGCAAACAGGAUUAGAUACCCCCGUAGUCCCUGUCUCUUAUAC